rnacentral:rRNA from 1 species
AGAGUUUGAUCCUGGCUCAGAUUGAACGCUGGCGGCAGGCCUAACACAUGCAAGUCGAACGGUAACAUUUCUAGCUUGCUAGAAGAUGACGAGUGGCGGACGGGUGAGUAAUGCUUGGGAACUUGCCUUUGCGAGGGGAAUAACAGUUGGAAACGACUGCUAAUACCGCAUAAUGUCUUCGGACCAAACGGGGCUUCGGCUCCGGCGCAAAGAGAGGCCCAAGUGAGAUUAGCUAGUUGGUAAGGUAACGGCUUACCAAGGCGACGAUCUCUAGCUGUUCUGAGAGGAAGAUCAGCCACACUGGGACUGAGACACGGCCCAGACUCCUACGGGAGGCAGCAGUGGGGAAUAUUGCACAAUGGGGGAAACCCUGAUGCAGCCAUGCCGCGUGUGUGAAGAAGGCCUUCGGGUUGUAAAGCACUUUCAGUUGUGAGGAAAAGUUAGUAGUUAAUACCUGCUAGCCGUGACGUUAACAACAGAAGAAGCACCGGCUAACUCCGUGCCAGCAGCCGCGGUAAUACGGAGGGUGCGAGCGUUAAUCGGAAUUACUGGGCGUAAAGCGCACGCAGGCGGUUUGUUAAGCUAGAUGUGAAAGCCCCGGGCUCAACCUGGGAUGGUCAUUUAGAACUGGCUGACUAGAGUCUUGGAGAGGGGAGUGGAAUUCUAGGUGUAGCGGUGAAAUGCGUAGAUAUCUGGAGGAACAUCAGUGGCGAAAGCGACUCCCUGGCCAAAGACUGACGCUCAUGUGCGAAAGUGUGGGUAGCGAACAGGAUUAGAUACCCUGGUAGUCCACACCGUAAACGCUGUCUACUAGCUGUGUGUGCCUUUAAGCGUGCGUAGCGAAGCUAACGCGCUAAGUAGACCGCCUGGGGAGUACGGCCGCAAGGUUAAAACUCAAAUGAAUUGACGGGGGCCCGCACAAGCGUGAGCAUGGUGGUUUACUCGAUGCAACGCGAAGAACCUUACCUAACACUGACAUGCAGAGACUUUCUAGAGAAUAGAUGGUUGCUCAGACCUCUGAAACAGCGCCUGCAUGUCUGUCGUCAGCUCGGUCUUGAAAUGUGGUAGUUCGGCACGAGCGCACCUUGCUUAGUUGCAGCAUAGUGGACCUAAGACUACUGCUGGUACAACGGAGAAAGUGUGAGGAC